CAAAGUUUCUUUGAAAUGUCUCACAAGAUUGUUCUCCGACUCUGCUUCUCAGUGCUUUUCUUAAGAGCUGGAGACUGGUGAGGCCCCGCCUCCCCUGCCUCUAGUGACUGCACGUCCCUGGUUCUAGCGGGUCCCUUUCUCUCCUUUGGGGGAACGACAAGGAGGCGGUGCCUGGAGAGGAGGGGCUGGGAAAUGGAGCGCCUUCACUUUCGGAACCAGAGAGCUGACGGAAGGAGCGGUUUGCUUCGGAGGCGGAGAAACCGGAAGACGACGGAGGAGCCCGGCGGGGGAGGGAAGGAAGGAAGCGCCGCCCGAGAAAAGGAGGAGAGCGGGCCCCUCGGAGCAGCCCCGGGAGACAGCGGGGAAAGGCCGGGGGGCUCCGGAGCUGCAGGAGGGAUGAGCCCAGCGGGAGCCCGGGAAAGGCGGCUGCCUGGAGGGCGAUGCGGGGAGGAGGAAACGGGGGGAAACGCCGAGACGGGCCUGGAGGGCGGAGGGUCCUUCGGAAGACCCCGAAAUCCCCAAAGGAUCCAGGAGGAAGAAGAGAGAUAUCAGUGCCCGGAAUGUGAAAAAUUCUUCAAGAGAAACAAGUAUCUUCGAAACCAUCUAAAGGCCCAUUCAGGAGAAAAACCUCAUAAAUGUCUGGAGUGUGGAAAGAGCUUCAGUCAGAGGAGCAGCCUUUAUAGACAUC